AUGAUCCUCCUGAGUGCUGGAAUUAGAGGCAUGCAUCACCACAUCUGGAGCUUGGAUCCCAACAUGGGCUCUCAGCUGGAGGGUCCUAGAGACACCGGAGCCUGUCCUGCCUGCCAGAUGAAGAAACAGAGUCUCAAGGGAGCUCCUCCUCCACGGUCACCUAGCAAGCCAGUAGCAGACUCAGGAUUCAAACGAGACUUUGCAGACUCUGAAUUUGGUUUGGUGCUUGAGGCUCCUUGUGGCUCCCCUCCCAUCUUGCUGUUUGUGGUUCCUUCAUGCUCUGCUCCCUCCAAGAGCUGCCCUGGGAACAGGGAAGAGGGAAGCAGGGCUUGAAACUCUGUGGAAAAGUUCACCAGACGUGAACACCUCCAAGGCUGGGGUUGCAGAGCACGGUUUCCCAGUUCCAGCAUGGAGUAAGAGCUUAAAUGAGUAAGUGAGAGAGUGGGUUGCCUGGCUGGCUAUGUGUGUGGGCUAUGUGUGCGGGGGUUCCAGUUAGAACUGUUGUUUCUGGGGGGGAUACCAGGCGUGUGUCUCUGUAUCCAAAACUCUCCUUGUUUCCAAGGCUGCGUCCUGUCUUCCCUCUUCCUUUCUCAGUCCCAGAUGUCACCCAGCUCUUACAGAACCCUAGAGUUUCAGAGCCACAAAGGGCCUGAGAUAUCACUGUCCUGUCCCCUUUGAGUUGAGAAAACCAAGGCAAGUCCACACAGCUAGUCAGCUUUUGGGGACCAGAGACCAAGCCCGUGGUUCCCCGAGCUUCCGUUCCUCUCUCCUGGUGAAUUGAUGUUGAGAACUGAGGGUAGGGAGGCCCUGUCCUGGCCAUUGUGACUUCUUCUCGUACCCCUCAUGGAGGGUUGUGGGGAGUAUCCUCAGAGCAGGCUGAAUAAAAAGGCUGGGCUCAGGGAGUGGGCCCAGUCAUUCCCUUGUGCCUUGCUAGGAAGGGAAGGCAGGCUGGCUGGCUUCCUUCCGGGGAACUGAAGCCUGAGUCACCCUGGAGUCAGAGCCAGGGUGGGGUGGUGAGGGAUCGUCACCCCUCUCCCGCGAUUUGUUUGUGUGUGUGCCUGCGCGUGCAUGUGCGUGAGCAUGUGCACUUCCCUCCUGCUCUUCCACAAAGGGCCUGAGCAGUUGGCUGGUGUAGUGAGAAGAGUUCGGAUAACAUGGCCCUACUUUAACUGGGACUUCUUAAACAGCCUCAUUAGAAAUGUUCUUGGUUUACAAACCUUCAUUUUCUGUUUGGUUUUAUCAUAAAACUUUGUGGCCUGCUUAUGGCAAAAUAAAAAACAAGUACCCACAGUUAACACUGAUUUUUUAGCCCCCUGUGGCC
rnacentral:lncRNA from 1 species